UUUAGAAGGCAAACCAAAUGCGAACCAUGUACAUGCCAGGAUCAAUAUUUCACGUACACAACAGUUACAUAACCGGACAUCAUCACACAGUGCUCGAAUAAUAACAUAGAAGAUAGUACUAGUCAAUUACAUCAUGAUGUCUGAGACAUCCACAUAGUCUUUAACAAUAAUCAAAGUGCGAAAACGAAACGUAGAUACAUGCGGCCUUCAUAGGCAGCCGACUGGGGGUUGCCGCUAACCCAUGCCUAAAACUCGACGUACUCUUGGAAUUCCUAGAAGUCUUCCUCCACGACUUCAUCUUCUCCUGAGCAGUGGUUGCAACGUGGACAACCUGGGGGGUUUGGUGUGUAAAGCAAGGGUGAGUACACAUCAACAUACUCAGCAAUUGUCCCGUUUGGCUGUAGUGGACUAGAUUUAUGUGGGGUUAAGUCAAGCAGUUGCUUUUAGUUGGUCAGGUUAUUAUUACUAGUAGAGAGCCAGAUUUUAGCAUUAACCCAAAUUGUUAACCCAAAAGUAUCCUUUCCAAACGGAAAGAAUACUACUUACCAUUAUCAUAGUCAUAAUCAAACCAUCAUCCUCGUCACCACCGGUAGACCAACCAUCUCUGAUCAAAGUAUCUCUAAUCAAUGGAGCUCCCUUGGCCGCUCAUAACCGUGAGCACGACUGAGAUAUUAGUUUCAUAACACUCUACAGAGGUUGCGCACUUUACCCACAAGUCGUGAUUCCCUUUCUGCCCGGAGAGAGCUACUCCCCAUUGACCACUACCUAGGUGGCCUGGCAGGGUAUCACUACGAAGCCUUUACAAAGAUUCCCUGAGGCUGUAGCCGCCCAUUAGGUUUCCUAAAUGUACCGCACUCCUCCCUAAGGAGUGUGUUACAUUUAAUUAAUUAAUUAACAAUUAAUUAAUUAAACAAUAAUUAAUUAUAACACAAGUCAUGGAAAAAUAAUGCUACUAACACGUAAUCGACAUUAUUAUAAAGCUAACGCGACUGAAACAUGUAGAAACGGGUCUGCGACCCAAAAUAUAUCGACUAUCUAAUAGCCCGUGGAAUUACGAUGAUGUGGCACAUUUUCAUUGGCCCGAAACAAAGCCACGCGACGGUCCACAAAGAGCAUGGCUGCUGAAAAUCAUUCACAACUAGGCCUAUGGGACCCUGACACAUGACGAGAUGGUUUUUCUAAAGCAUAGCGCACGUAUAGUAAUGGGAUCGUGGGGCCCAUGGCAGUUCUCUUUUCCAGCCUAUUCGCUCGGCAUUUGAACGUGGCCAGUUUUUCUUUCUUCUACAACCUGUACGCGCAUAGAGAAGAAGGUCGUUCAUCGGCUGCCGCAGUGUCUCACCGGAGGGGAGUAGGAAUGAGCAAGGAAGGCUGGCGCGGCGCAGGGGCUAGCUCGCCGGAAUGUUGACAGAGCGAUGCGCAAGGGGCGAGCACGCCUCGGGACGAUCUUCCUGAGCAGGACGGGCGAGCGUCUCACAGAGGCUGGGGCGAACGCGCACGGCAGCAGCUCGCUGGCGGCCUACUGUGGAGCGUGGCGCAGUAGUCCGGGAGGGCACGCGUAGAACGCGGGAUUGCAUGGCGCGGAUAGUGCCCAUGGGCGUGGGCGAAGCUCGUCGCGCCAUGGAUUUGCUUGUCACCAUGGCUGCGUGCUAGGAAAGGGGCGGGCUGCGUUCACCGACUGUGCAUAGGGGUUCGGCCAAAGGGGCUACGAGCAUCGCGCUUUGCUAGGGGACAGUUUGGACCGGGGGAGAGAGCUCGGCCAAGGGCCGAGCAUGGCAGCGCACGAGGAACGCCCGAGAAUGAAAGGGAGAAUGGACAAAAUUCGUCACCUGCGCACGACGAACCGUGCUCAUCCUUUCCUGUUGCUGCAGCGCCUGGGGAACUUCUCGUCUGGGUAACUCCUUCAUGCGCAGGAAUAGAGUGAAGGGAACUGGCGUACGCGAAGGCGAGAAACAUGGGCACGGCAAGACGAGAAAGAGAUGGUUUGGGAAGAUGAACAUGGCUCUGGCGGCAGCUGCCCGUUGGGGCAGAGCAACGUGG
rnacentral:lncRNA from 1 species